rfam:Mycoplasma sp. CAG:877 genomic scaffold, scf55
AAUGUAGGUGUAAUUGAUGGCACAUUAUUCUAGUCAAUUACUUUAUUAGGAAGACGGGAUUAAACAACCGUUAUAGAGCAUAUCUGUGAAACCUUUGGUGUUUGCUUUAUACGCCCAGUGUAGGGUGGAUGCUGAAGAUGAGGAGAAUGGGCGCUCGUAAUGGCAUACGACAAACGACCCAUUAUCUGUGGAGACCUACUAUUUGUGAUAAGCCUAUACGUUUUAUACUGAUUGGACUUGUUACGAGGUAGGCUGGAACCUGUAUUGUGGCGAAAGUUAUGUGCAGUGUAGCUUGUCUUGAGUGAGAGCUUUGGGAUUAAAGAACUUGUUUAUUAGAGCUGGCCAACUUUGAUAAAUAUUGCUUUAUGAAAUUUCUCUUGCAAAAAAGAAUAAAUAAUAAAGUGUUGGUGAGGAAAUCUCCUAGAGUGCGCUUUACAUAGGAUUGCAGUGGAUACUAAGUGGUAAUCAAGUCGUAUGAAUGGUGACAUCAUACUUAUCUCUUUAAAGGGGAACCAUGUAUUUGGUAACGAAUACAUAGAGAUAAGGGAAAUCCUACUUGACCUAAGAUUCAAAGUUUACUAUGUUUAGAGCCAUUAGUUUUUUUUUAACU